rnacentral:rRNA from 1 species
UCGGGAAUUUUGGGCAAUGGGCGCAAGCCUGACCCAGCAACGCCGCGUGAAGGAUGAAGUAUUUCGGUAUGUAAACUUCGAAAGAAUAGGAAGAAUAAAUGACGGUACUAUUUAUAAGGUCCGGCUAACUACGUGCCAGCAGCCGCGGUAAUACGUAGGGACCAAGCGUUGUUCGGAUUUACUGGGCGUAAAGGGCGCGUAGGCGGCAUGACAAGUCACUUGUGAAAUCUCUGGGCUUAACCCAGAACGGCCAAGUGAUACUGUCGCGCUAGAGUGCAGAAGGGGCAAUCGGAAUUCUUGGUGUGGCGGUGAAAUGCGUAGAUAUCAAGAGGAACACCUGAGGCGAAGGCGAGUUGCUAGGCUGACACUGACGCUGAGGUACGAAAGCUAGGGGAGCGAACGGGAUUAGAUACCCCCGUAGUCCCUGAGCGGGCUGGCAAGGCGCAU